CCCUGGCUCGGUCCCGGAGUCGUUCUAUACGCCGUUUGUACUUGAUAAAAUGGCGUAGAGCGACUAAGGAACCAGGACA
rfam:Branchiostoma floridae genomic scaffold BRAFLscaffold_246, whole genome shotgun sequence.